UACGUAGGAGGCGAGCGUUGUCCGGAAUUAUUGGGCGUAAAGAGCUCGUAGGCGGUGUGUCGCGUCGGCCGUGAAAACCUGCAGCUUAACUGUGGGCGUGCGGUCGAUACGGGCAUCACUGGAGUUCGGCAGGGGAGACUGGAAUUCCUGGUGUAGCGGUGAAAUGCGCAGAUAUCAGGAGGAACACCGGUGGCGAAGGCGGGUCUCUGGGCCGAUACUGACGCUGAGGAGCGAAAGCGUGGGGAGCAAACAGG
rnacentral:rRNA from 1 species